ensembl:lncRNA UAP56-interacting factor-like
GCAGAGGUGAGAGGUGGCAGCAUCUCCCCUAGAUAGUCAGAACAUCAUGAGUCAAGUCCUGAAGCCUGCRGGACUUAAAAUACAAAGUGCUACUGAUAUUCCUUGUGCACAUUGCAUUUAUUCGCUUACUGCUUUUUGCACCACAGAGGUUUAUGGCUUCCAGCUUCAUCCCAURCCCCUGGGGGCUGGAAGCUUGCUUGGGGGUUUAAAGCAGUGAGGAGAGUCGUGGGGGCCGCUGGGUUGACUCCAGGAGCUGGGAACUGAGAGGAGAGCACCCCACGACCUCCCGGUAAGCUGUGAGCGCUGAAAUCUCUCCUGCACAUGGCAGAUAUGUGCSGGACGGUGACACAUUUUCACAUAAUUCACUGCACUCUAAUCUCCAGCCYGCAGGAGCCAAGUAAAUUGAUCCUAUACUUUCUGAGCUAGGCUUAAUCUUUUAUUGUCCGUCCAGCGUGGCUCACAGGACCGCGAGCUCCGCUUUUAUGGAGGCCGAGCACAAGCACCAGAAGGGGGAAUUGAUGCUGGUGGAAAUCACRGGUUUUCUGGGUUUCCCCUUUGCCGUUUCUGAUCUAGACGACAUCAUAAAGCGCCACAAGAAGGAGCAGAGCGGUGCCCAGGCGGCCGGGAACAGGCGGAGGCAGCAGGUGAAGAACCGGAAUUCGGCGUUCGGGUACGGGCGGCCCCGCUUCCGCACCUGGAUGCAGAGGAACUUGCAAGGACCCARCCGCUUCAGAAGAGGCUUUGGACAACAGCAGUACAAUAGAAGGCAAUUCAGGAAUACUGUGCCCGGUCCCCGGAGAAGAGCAGCUGCCGCAUUAAAUGGAGUGAGCCCGUUAAAUCGCCAGGCGUCCGCUCAAGAGGGUAACAAGAGCAACGAUGCUUUUGCCAAAAGCGGUAGCAGCGGGGACCCGGAGGCGCGGAGACGGCCACCRCUGGGCCCCAAGAGAUUCAGAGCAGCAGCUGCCAACACCCACGCCGCAGGGAGAAGUAACAGCAAGCCUUUCGUGCUGAACAGGGGACCAGGCUUCCAGCAGAAACGGAUGCAGCAGCAGUACUCCAAAGCCAACUUUCAGAGCAGGCAAAUGGAUGCAAUCGGAGACAGGAAACAACCAAGGAUGAGAAGGUGGCAAGUGAAACCCAGCCCCGGAGCAGUGCUGACGGUUUCUGURGCUAAUCCCCAGGCGAGCCAGACCAGUGCGCCCGGAGGCAAGCGGCCGUUCCUGAGGAGCCCGAGGCCCCCGCCGCGGGUGGCCAAGCCCCAGCCGAAGGGAGUGCUGCUGAGGUUCAACUUCCGCGCCAUGGCGAACCAGGUUUUCAGGGCUGCCAGUUAGCUUUAUUUAGUGUAAGCUGGGAGGAAAAUGCUGUAGCCUGGUUGGACAGGUUGUUCACAAAGCUGAAGGCGCCUGAGAAGACUGUUCAGCAACUACAGACUCAGCCUAACUUCUCCCGUGCUGCUGGCCCCUCUUGGUCUGUCCUAGUGCUUGCUUGGAGUAGGAGGAUGCUCCGGCUCCUUGUGAGCGGUCCUGGCCGGGGGAGGACRUUUCACUGGUGCUCUGUGUGCUCCCUGCUCCUCAGAGAUGCGCGACACUUCCUC